GGCUACAACUCAGUGGUAGAGCAUCUGCUUUGCACACAGAAGGUCCCAGUUUCAAUUCCUGGCAUCUCCA
rnacentral:tRNA from 1 species